GUUUACGACCAUAUCACGUUGAAUAUACCGGUUCUCGUCCGAUCACCGAAGUCAAGCAGCGUCGAGCCUAGUNAGUACUUGGAUGGGUGACCGCCUGGGAAUACUAGGUGCCGUAGACUU
rnacentral:rRNA from 13 species